GGCAGUCGGCCCCAGACAGGACGGGGAGCGCACCGCGCUCCUGGCCACUCGGAAGGGGCAGGAAACUGGUGCCUGGCCUCAGGUUUCUGGACCUGGCGGCAGCACCCCCUCCAGAGUGUCGCAGCGCGGCUCUGCGGGGACCAAGCCGCGGCACUUUUAAAGGUGGUGUCUGUGUUGGGUUGAGUACUUCAGCAGGGUUUUGCUUAGAAAAUCCCCUACUGGUGAAUACUUAUCCCUCCCCCAAAGGAUCAGCCUUGCUAAUUCCAAGGCAGAAACACUGGUGGACGGUCCUUGCUCGUGGUGGUGCGGAGCAAUACACGUACAGCAGAACCAUGCUUUGACUCUGCGCUCCGGGUCUUCUCCUGGGCAGCAAUACCUAGUACCCUCCUGUGCGCUGGACGCUAAGUGAGCUGCCCCUCCCGGCAGCCUCUGGACCACCAGAGAAGCAGCGGAGGACACUCGAUGCUUUUUCAAUCUCGGAUAUAUUCAGCUCACCCUGGGCUUAUUGGGCACAGUCCUGCCCCGUGUCCAGGGGCUUCUGCAGUCACAGCAGAAGCAGCCUUUCUCACCAGCCUUGCCCCCACCCCUCCUCACUGAAGGUCCUAGUGGGGAGGGGCCUUGCUGAGGGGAGUAGGGGAAAGAGCAGCGCCGUCAGAAAUAGCCUCCAUAAGCUGGCUGCACCAGAGCUGGGGAAGGGACCUCCGGGCAGUGCGGGCUUCUGCCUCCCAUCAGGCGCAGGCGCAUGGCCUUCCAGAGGGGUCGCGAAACCAGAGGUCUUCAGAAGCAUCUAACAGAGAACCCGGCAGGUCAUCUCCUGUCCUGCCCCUGCCCACCUGUCCUCUGCCCCCGCCCACCUUGACAGUAGGCUAUUGAAGUGGAACUCUUUGGCUUUUAGGACAUUCCUCAUCAGCGGGGUAAACUUUUUGUACAUCUAUUGAGCACCUGCAUUUCAUUUUGAUGGUGAACAAACCUCAGUAGCUGGUGGGGAGCAGAAGCUCGAUUGGCCAAGGAUGCUGGGGCCAGUUGCAGGUGAGCGGCGAUAUUGACAACAAGGGCUGACGAACAGACAGGUCUGAGCACUUGCUUAGGUGUCGGGCCCUGUGUGGGAGAGCUCGCUGACCGUGCACCAAGGGAGCAUGACACAGCAUCCUGACCUUCUUGGGUACCAUGGUCAGCCAGGGACUUCAGGUGACCGAUGGUGUCCCAAACAGUUUUCUCCAGUGGCAGCGGUCAAGCAUGCCAGGUUUCCUGGGUUCAACUCCACUUGGUACUAGACCUAAGGUUACAGGCAGGAGGCGUGGAGGACGGGUGGAGUUGAGUCCCACUCACCUGUGGAGGGCUGAGGUCCCUGAGAGAGGGUCAGUUUAAGAACCACCAUGGAGUCCUGGUCUGGUGGAGGCACUGCUGUACACAUGGGGUGGGAGGAACCUAUCUGGCUGAAUAUCAGGGAAGCAGGAACCUCUGCAGGUGUCUGGCAGAAGGAUCAGCACAGGUGACAGGUCCUUAGAGUCCUGCAGUGAGCUCCUGGGGAGGAGGCCAGGAGGUGCCCCGUCCCCUGCUGAGCCAGGAAUGUGAACCCAGGGAGAGGCUCUUUGGAGCUCAGAGGCUGGGAAUUUCAGGAAGCCACUGCCUGGUGAUGCAGAGCCCUGGGUGGGUGGUUUGUACCAAGUGCCUGGAAGCCUCUACACGAGUGCCAUGGUGCCUGUGUGCCUGCUCACGCCUGCUGCUGGGAGGGCACUGUCUGCACUUCUGCCUUCCAAGUUCGACUGGAGUGCCUCUCGUUGGAUCUCUGGGUGUCAGGGAGGCUGGAGGGUGGGUGCCAGUCACCAGCAGGCAGCGUGCAGCACUCUUCUGGGG
rnacentral:lncRNA from 1 species